rnacentral:rRNA from 1 species
UAGGGAAUCUUCCACAAUGGGCGCGAAGCCUGAUGGAGCAACACCGCGUGAGUGAAGAAGGGUUUCGGCUCGUAAAGCUCUGUUGUUAAAGAAGAACACGUAUGAGAGUAACUGUUCAUACGUUGACGGUAUUUAACCAGAAAGUCACGGCUAACUACGUGCCAG